AGCAGCCGCGGUAAUUCCAGCUCCAAUAGCGUAUAUUAAAGUUGUUGCAGUUAAAAAGCUCGUAGUUGAAUUUCGGGGUCAGUAGGUUGGUCGUGCCACAGGUAUGUACUGGCCUCACUGAUUCCUCCUUCUUGUAGAACCGUAAUGCCAUUAAUUUGGUGUUGCGGGGAAACAGGACUGUUACUUUGAAAAAAUUAGAGUGUUUAAAGCAGGCUAACGCUUGAAUACAUUAGCAUGGAAUAAUGAAAUAGGACGUUCGAUCCUAUUUUGUUGGUUUCUAGGAUUGACGUAAUGAUUAAUAGGGAUAGUUGGGGGCAUUAGUAUUCAAUUGUCAGAGGUGAAAUUCUUGGAUUUAUUGAAGACUAACUACUGCGAAAGCAUUUGCCAAGGAUGUUUUCAUUAAUCAAGAACGAAAGUUAGGGGAUCGAAGACGAUCAGAUACCGUCGUAGUCUUAACCAUAAACUAUGCCGACUAGGGAUCGGAUGAUGUUAAUUUUUAAUGACUCAUUCGGCGCCUUAC
rnacentral:rRNA from 1 species